GACGAAGGGGGCUAGCGUUGUUCGAAAUUACUGGGCGUAAAGAGCGCGUAGGCGGUUUGAUAAGUUGGGAGUGAAAGCCCGGGGCUUAACCUCGGAAUUGCUUUCAAAACUGUCAAGCUAGAGUGUAGUAGGGGAUGAUGGAAUUCCUAGUGUAGAGGUGAAAUUCUUAGAUAUUAGGAGGAACACCGGUGGCGAAGGCGGUCAUCUGGGCUACAACUGACGCUGAGGCGCGAAAGCGUGGGGAGCAAACAGG
rnacentral:rRNA from 1 species